GCCAGGUGUGGUGGCGCACACCUGUAAUCCCAGCAGCUCUGGAGGCUGAGGCAGGAGGAUUGUGAGUUCGAGGCCAGCCUCAGCAACUUACUGAGGCCCUAAGCAACUUAGAGAGACCCUGACUCUU
rnacentral:sRNA from 1 species